rnacentral:miRNA from 1 species
UUCCUUCCAGUCGAAGAGGUUUACAGAACCUUUUUGACUGGAAGGCCUUUCCAGUCAAAGAGGCUUGUAACCUCUUUGAAGGCCUUCCAGUCAAAGAGGUUACAAAACCUCUUCAAGCGGAAGGAUUCCUUCCAGUCGAAGAGGUUUUGCAACCUCUUUGACUGGAAGGAA